AGUUGAAGCAUAUGUCCUGCGAGCUUAGGGGUGCUACAAGUUGACCACUGCAGCAGUAAAGAUGACUCUGAAGAAUGGCGUGGGAUGGUUCCUUUCAAAUGCACUUGAGCAGCGGUCUCCAACCACAGGGCCACAGAGCUGGAGCUGGAUCUACCAUGAAAGACUUGUGAAUCCAGGAAGAGAGACUGACUGGGCAACAUGUUAUUCAGGGUCUCCCUCUGUUGUCCAAGGCUGGAGUGUAGUAGUGCCAUCGCAGCUGACUGCAGCCUCAACCUUCCAGGCUGAAGCGAUCCUCCCACCUCAACCUCCCACGUGGCUGAGACUACAGGUGCUUGCCACUAUGCCCAACUAACAUUUGGAAUUUUCGUAUACGUGGAUUCCAGAGGGGUGACAGCGAAACGUGGGACCAUCCAGUUGCAGGAAAACAAGCUUAACACGCCCACUGAUUCUACAUUAUGCUCCUACCUCCCGGCAGCCUCUCCAGGCCCAGAACUUUCUCCAGUCAGCCUCUACAGACCAAGCUCAUGACUCUCAAUGGCCUAUUUAGGCCCAUACCCUACGUCACGGCAGCCUCCGCAGAUGAGGCUACUGCCUCACAACAGCCUCCACAGGCACAGCUCCAUCGUUACAAUGGCCUCUUUAGACCCAGCUCCUGCCUCCCAGCCUUCUCUCCAGGCCCUGAACUUUCUCAAGUCAACCUCACCAGGCCCAGCUCAUGCUUCUUUGCAGCCUCUCCAGGCCCAGCUCCUGCAUCUUGGUGGCCCCUCCAGGCCCAGCCUCUGCCUCCCGUCAGCCUCUACAGUCCGAACGUCUGCCUCACAGCAGAUUCUUUACGCCCAGCAUCUACCUCACUGUGGAUCCCCCAAGCCAAGCUCCCAACCUUUCAGCAGCUUCUACACACCCAGCUCCUGCCACCCAGUGGCCUCUUUAGGCCAAGCUCAUGCUUCACAAGGGCCUUUCCAGGCCCAACUUUUGUCUCAUGGCAACCUUCCCUGGCCAGAUUCCUGCCUGUCUCCCAGCAGCCUAGACAGGCCCAGGUCUUGUCUCACACUGGCCUCUCUACAUCCAGCUUAUGCCUCACGGUGGCCUCUCCACGCCCAACUCCUGUCCCAGGACGUCAUCUCCGGGCCCAAAACUUACUCAAGUCAGACUCUCUAGUCCCAACUGCUGCCUCCUGGUGGCCUAUGAAGGCCCAAAAUCUCCUCAAGUUGACCUGUCCAGGCCCACCUCCUGCCUCCUGUCAGCGUCUACAGGCCCAACCUCUGCCUCAUGGGGGCUUCUCCAGGCCCACCUCUUCCUCUUGGCUGGGUCUACAGGCACAACUGCUGCCUCACAACAGCCUUUUUUGGCCCAGUUCCUGUCCAGCUCAUGGCGGCCAAUGUAGGCCCAAAACUUCCUCAAGUCAAACUCUCCAGGCCCACCUUCUGCUUCCCGGUGGCAUCAACAGGCCCAGCUUUGACUUGAGAACAGCCUCUGCAGGCCCUGCUCUUGCCUCCCAGGGGCUUUUUCCAGGCCCAGCUCUUGCCUCAUGGCGGCUGCCCCAGGCCAAAUUUCUGCCUGCCUGCCAGCAGCCUCAACAGGCACAGCUCCUCCCUCACAGUGGCCCAUUUAGGCCCAACUCAUGACUGUGAGGCCAUUUCCAGGCCUAGUGCCUGCCUCGUGGCUGACUCUUGAAGCCCAAAACUUCCUCAAAUCAGCCUUUUGCCCAACUUCUGUCUACUGUCGGACUCUACAGGUCAGCCUCUGCCUCACAGUGGACCCUCCAGACCCAGAUGGUGUCUCACUGUGGCAUCCUCAGGCGAAGCUCCUGCCUUUCGGCAGCCUCUCCAGGCCCAGCUCCUCCGGCCUCCCAGUGGCCUCUUUCAGCCCAGCCCAGCUCAUGCCUCCCGGCGGCCUUCCCAAGCCCCGCUUUUGACUUUCGGUGGCCUCUGCAGGCCUCGACAAGGCCCAGCCUCCUGCCUCCCGAAGGCCUGCACAGGCCCAGCCUCUGCCUCACAGCGGACUCUCCACGCCCAGCUAGCUGUUGCUUCACUGCGGCCUCCCGAGUCCAAAGCUCCUGCCUCUCGGCCGCUUCGGCAGGCCCAGCUCCCGCCUGC
ensembl:lncRNA LINC02887 long intergenic non-protein coding RNA 2887